rnacentral:sRNA from 1 species
UCGAGCGAAGCGAGAGAACGUUGCCGCAGGCAACGGCCCGAAGGGCGAGGAGCGAUAGCGACGAGUUAUCCUUCCCCCACCACCA